rnacentral:lncRNA from 1 species
AAGUAUUUAACAUCAUCACAGCAUAAGCAUAUCCAUACAUAGUCCAUCACAUUACAUAAAAGGGUUCAAGUUCACAUACAUAAGUUCAUAGAGUUUUGCAGCAGAAAGUUCUAUCAUUACUCUCAUCAUACGCUACAACACAACACAAAAUAAGAAGGUUAACACUAUAUGCCGAUAGUGCCCUUCCUAUAGCCAUGGCCAUCACUUCUUACCCGCACCUCCGUCCGCGAGGUAGAAGUACCCAAAGAUAGCCUCCGGCUGCGAAUCACCUGCAACAACUUAAUGGCGGCACCGUGAGUAAAAAAGUACUUAGCAAGACUUAUCCAAAUAUGGCUAUAUACUUGCCCAACUCUCAAGAAGAAUACAUUUGGUUAAGUAGCAAGGAGUGGCAUAGGUGAUUAAUUUGCAUAAAAGCAUCUAAAUUUUGAUCAAGUUAUAAUAAGCAAAAGAUAUAACAUUAUAUGAUCUCUAAGUCAAGCAUCAAAUAAUUGCAAUAAGUAAAUGUAAUCAUGAACAUGAGUUCAAUUUUCCAUGAACUCCAUUCGAUAACUCUACUAUGAAAGCGGGGUAUCAAGAGCUUGCUUAAUGACCGAGAGCGCAGCUAUUGCAAUAGAUUAUAACCCUGCAGGGGUGUACCACUUUUCCCACACGAGACGCAAGACCGACCAUACCCCAGUCGAGGAUAAGUGUUGAUUCAUACCCCCGACCAUUCGCAUACCCACACCCGACUAUGAGCGAACGGUCGAAAGUGUAUAGGUGCACCGGACACGGCCGAUCACACCUCAUCCCACUUCGCGCCGAAUCCGAUCAAGGCAAAAUGCGACUUAUGCUACUCGGCUUGCCAUUCCUAUAUUAAGCAUGUGGUUUGCAUGUAAAAAGUUCUCAAGAACUCAGCAACAAAGCCGUGGUACUUAAUCAACUCAAACAAGUCUAAGUCAAGUGAUGUCCAAUCUCAAUAUGACCCUACCAUACUUGCUCAAGUUCGAUUUUCAUCUUUAAUAGCUGCUCAAGUUUUAAUCCAUUCAUUCGAUUUUCAUCUUUAAUAGCUGCUCAAGUUUUAAUCCAUUCAUGGCUACUCAAGUAUUAAUUAAGCAAGCAACCUAUAACUCGCGAGUGGUGGUGACCUUGCCACCUCUCGACUUCUACUGAAGCUAAGCAUGUAUAAGCAAUUAAUUUCGUGACACCUACACAAGCAUACUUACCUAGAAGAGUUGUUCUAAUUGAAGGAUGGAUAAUGCAUUAAGUAGGAGCUAAGCAACAAAUACAUAAAUAGUAACUUAUGCGCAUAUAAGACACAUAUACAUCAUUGAUCCAAAAUAGGGUUAAAAGGAUGCUUAGGUGCCUGCCUUGGUUCACAAAGGAGGCAUCGUCGGCAACGGGCUCCAGCUCGAGCUCACCCACCUCUUGCUCCGACGUCUUGGUCUCUGCACGAAUGAAAUGGUGCAUAAUUAACAACAAUGCUCGAAGAUGGUGCAAAUGAUGUAUGAGAUGCAUGGAAAAGAAGGUUCAAAGCAUAUAUUACGUGAUAGAACACUUAAAUCCUACACAAAACAAGGAUAUAUUCACGUUUCCCCUCAAAGGCAGAAUUGUAAAUAACUUGUCAAGUUGCCGAAAAUGGUAUUGCCGAUGAUUCCGGCGACCGAUUGCAGUGGGGUUUGAUCUAAAGCUUCCUUAGAUGAUGGGAAUUCAAUUUAGAUGAUGGGAAUUCAGAUUAGAUGAUGGUGGAUGCAGAAAAGGAGCAGCCUAGGGUUAAAGGCUUCGACACCACUCUCGUGCUGGUCUCCUGGACGAUAUGGAAGGAGCGGAACAACAGGACUUUUGCCAGGAGAUAGGAACAAUCGCCUCAACAACUCCUCGCCGUGAUACAGGAGGAAGUAGCAAACUGGUUUGCUGCAGGAGCACGAUGCCUGGCGAUGGCUGGCUGGAACUUCGGAGCAGAUGUUUCAUAGCACCUAGGUGAACAAUUUGGAGUUGCUAGCUGAUAGGUGGAGUGUAUGUUUAAUAAUGUAAUAAUUAUCAACUCAAAUCCGUGUACGUGCGCCCGGUGAAUGACCUGCGUGGUAACUAAACAUCUAUUUUUUCCUCUUAAUUAAAUGAUACACGGCUCUCCUGCGUAUUCUAGAAAAAAAGUCAUAGCAGCGACAUGCACGGAGGUUUGGACGAAAUGCAAUAUCAAUGAAAACGAGCUCCCGUGGAAGGUUAAUGAAGGAGCUUCCAAUGGAGAAGAAAGGAGGGGGAAAACCAUAGGGGAGCCUCACUUAGGAUGGGGAAGGACGAUG